rnacentral:tRNA from 1 species
UUUGGAGUAUGUGAAUCUACAUAUGGGUAGUUUCGGGGUCAGGGGAAGACUCUUUGGAUUGUUGUAAAGCGGGUGGUGUACAUGGAAAGCACUCACGUGCUGUAUUCGCGUUUUUAAAG